UGUCAUGUCACGCCCGCUACCGUGACAGCUUGCAGUGAACUCCUCCGGUGCUGCUGCUUUCUGCGUCAAAAAACAACCUUUCAGUGACCAGAUCUGACUGAAAAUGCUGUCCUACAUCAUCGGCCUUAUCCGAGGCGGCUUUGACAGCAUCAUCAACCUGAUCUUCAGACUUUUCUUCUCAAAGAAGCGACCUGCGCUCACCUUAGAGGACCCCAACG